rnacentral:lncRNA from 1 species
UUUCUCGGUUUUAGCAUAUCAAAGUGGGUAGACAAAGACAAGCUUUUCCAACAAUCAUUCCAAACAAAAUGACUUCCCCCAAAACCAGUUGCGGUUUCUUUUAUCUGCCCAAAAUGCCUCCUCAGGUAGGUGGAACCACCAGCUCCGCAAUAUCUAGAAGUUGCAAGAGUGCUCAUUGACAUACUCUGCACCAUAUCUACUGUU